GGUUCAGUGGUCUAGUGGUUAUGAUUUCUGUCUCACAUACCCCAUGAAGAGUUUAGCGGUUAGUCACAGAAGGUCCCCGUUUCGAUCACGGGCUGAACCA